UACGUAGGAUCCAAGCGUUGUCCGGAUUUACUGGGUGUAAAGGGUGCGCAGGCGGACUGGUAAGUCUGUGGUGAAAUCUCGCCGCUUAACGGCGAAACUGCCUUAGAUACUAUCAGUCUUGAAUAAGCGAGAGAUCCGUGGAAUUCCGAGUGUAGCAGUGAAAUGUGUAGAUAUUCGGAAGAACGCCAGAGGCGAAGGCAGCGGGUUGGCGCUUUAUUGACGCUCAGGCACGAAAGCAUGGGGAUCAAACAGG
rnacentral:rRNA from 1 species